UCUGGCAUAGUCCAGUGGUUAAGAUACCUGGUUUUCUCCCAGGGAGCCUGGGUUCGAUUCCCGGUGUCGGGA